rnacentral:rRNA from 1 species
CGUAUAUUAAAGUUGUUGCGGUUAAAAAGCUCGUAGUUGGAUUUCUGUUGAGGACGGCCGGUCCGCACUAUGUGCGUGUAUCUGGUUCGGCCUCGGCAUCCUCUUGAGGAACGUUUCUGCGCUUGAUUGCGUGGAGCGGUAUUCAAGACUUUUACUUUGAGGAAAUUAGAGUGUUCACGGCAGGCAAGCGCCUUGAAUAUGUUAGCAUGGAAUAAUAAUAUAGGAUCUUGGUUCUAUUUGUUGGUUUCUAGGGCUAAGGUAAUGAUUAAUAGGGAUAAUUGGGGGCAUUUGUAUUAACGCGUCAGAGGUGGAAUUCUUGGAUUGCGUUACGACAAACUACUGCGAAAGCAUUUGCCAAGGAUGUUUUCAUUGAUCAAGAACGAAAGUAUGGGGAUCGAAGAUGAUUAGAUACCGUCGUAGUCUAUACCAUAAACUAUGCCGACUAGGGAUUGGAGGUCGUUCUUUUUAUGACUCCUUCAGCACCUUAUGAGAAAUCAAAGUCUUUGGGUUCCGGGGGGAGUAUAGUCGCAAGGCUGAAACUUAAAG